AACAGAUCUGAGGCGCGGUGGUUGGCGAUAUCAUCUCCGAUGACGAGCUGAGGGGCACGGUGGUCGGCAAUAUCAUCUCCUCCACUUCUUCGUUUGAUUACAGGUCUCUCUCUAUUUAACUCUCUGUUUGUUUCCCGAGAAAAAAAAAUGUUGAAGUUGUCCCAAUCUCUCUUCCACUUCUUCGUUCGACUACAAAGUAUUCAUCCAAUUUUGGGUUAGUCCUGGUGUUUUAGGGGCUUAGAGAGAGAGAGAGAGAGAGAGAGAGAGAGAGAGAGGGAGAGAGUAGUAGUAUAAAUUGGGGGCUAGGGUUUGGAUACUUUGGAAUUGGAAUCACGCCAAACCGGCUUUGAUUCAAAAUAGAUCCGUGGCUUGAAAAAGCAGAAGGAUUUAUGCUGGCUGGAUCAAUACUCAUGGUUGAUGGCAUUAAUGCUCAACUGAAGUUGCUGCAUAACUGAUGCUGGUGCUGCUGCAUAAUUGCUGGUGCUGUUGUUGGAGGCGUGAUGGAUGCUUUGAUUGAUUUGGUAUCUCAUUACGUACCAAGCACAAAUAUACAUUACACAAGUUUACUUUAUCCUAGUUUUUUAAUUUUUUUUCCACAACAUUGUCUGAUGUGAUUAUUUUGGCAAGAGUUACUCUAUAGUUCUGCCUUUUGUUACUACCAUCAUAUGUUGUAUGUUUGAUUUCUGGAAUAUUGACUAAUAAUAUGCAAUAGGUAACAAUCUAGUGGAAGUGUCCCUCACCAUAUACUUAAGCUUUGUUACUCAAAGCACUACAUAAUGGUAUCCGGUAGUAUAAUUGGUUCAUUGACACUUUUUUUUGGUUAACCAUGUUUUGGAUAGAAAAUUUACUACUAACCCGGCUAUUCAUGGCAGCCUCCUUGGAUCACCUUUCUGGGAGCAUGAGAAGGAGAUAUUUAACCCUGAAACUUCUCCUGGUGCAGAGCCUUGGGUUUACUAUACAAUAUAUGCGUUUUUUGUCUUCUUAUUUAAUAUAUUUGACAUUGUAAGUUUCUUCUUAACUUUACUAUUCUCCCUUUUCAGCACCUUCUUCUCACUUCGCUGGUUCAUAUAUCAUAGCUUUAUAUUUCUUCUUGUUUAUAAUCUUGUCUUCUAGUUGUUGUAGAGAUAGAAACUUCGUUGAAAGAAUUGCAGAUGCUACUGCAUUGAAAUCAUGGUGAUGCUGCUGAUCAAAGAUCUUUUGGUUGUUUCUGUCAUCUUCAAAAGAAAGAAGCCUCUACAUUCCAUUAUAUAUGAAUAUAAAAUUUGUAUAAUAUAAUCUUCGUAUAUCUAAUCCAGCCUUGUAUAUGUUUGACUCAGUAUUCAGUUUGAUUAAAUUAUACUUCUGCUUUUGUUUGAUAUACACCAAUGUGAUUUUUUUUUUACAUGUAAGGAUGUUUCCUAAUUUUUCCAGCAAGUGUUUAUGUAAUUAAUUUGCAUUGAUUGAAUAUUUUUAUAGUUUAAGAUUUGUGUCUUUGUUGAGGUACAGAUCUCUCUGUUUCUUCCACCCACCUUCAAAUCUACCUUUUUGUUUUUGUUUUUGUUUGUUUACUUUCACAUCUUCCACUAGAUUUUUCUCAACAGAAUUCCUGAGAAAUUUUUGGGUCUUUAAUUGCUUCUAAUAGUCUUUCUUUAUGAGAAAAAUUCUGGUUGUUUUUAAAUUUGCAAGUUCUGCUUUGCAGAUCUUUGAUGGGUUUUGACUAAGUUAUUGAGCUCUGCUUUGAUUGGUCUUAGCUUCCUUUCGCGAUGAAUGCAUCCUAGGCAGUUGACAUUCAAUACUACUUGAACUACCUUGGGAAAAUGGUGACUCUCUUGGUGGAACUGGAUGGAGCAUGAGUGAGUUUAGUUAGGAUGUCAAAUAUGUUGGGGUUUAGUCACUUGUGGUCAAGGUAAUAAUUCAUAAACUGAACUAUACUACUUAAUUUGCUUUUUCAGAAAUAUGUUACAUGUCAACAUGGACUUCAUUGUAUGACAAUUUAUCAAUCAAACACCUCAACCAUGUAACAAGUGCAUUACCACAUGAAUAGGCUGUGGUUAGUUUGGCUGUUUUUGCCAUCAUUAAUCCAAGUUUAUUUUUAUACCAUGAUGAUUUGUUCAAUUUCAUAAUCUGUAUUCCAUUUUGAGUUUUGGAAAACACUACUCUUAAGAGUUGAAAAUUCCAUCAGUUUAUGUGAAUCUAAAAACUGUCUACGUCAGUUAUUUGAAGCCCAGAUAUUGUAUGUGUUCACUAGUAACUUUAGUUUAUUCAUUAUUCACAAGCCACCACUUCUAUUUCUCUAAUGCCCCCUUCAUGAAUUUAAGAUUUUUAAAGGGCUUUACAUCUUUAUAUGUGUAACCAACUACAUGAUUUAUGUGUUAUACAUAGUAUCAAGUGGAGGAUUACUCUCCAUGUUGUAGGGAUAUAUCUUUGGUUGUAGGUUACUGACAAGAUGAAAGCAUGUGCAUCCUUAGAAGUAAUUGACAACAAUGUUGGAAUAUUGGACCCAAGGACUUAUCAGACUAAUGGGAAUUUCUGAUUGAAGCAUCUUCUAAUCUCUUGGAAUGGCCUUGAGAAAUCGUUUUUGGCCCAACACUUUCAGCAUGCUAUUAAAGAUAGUGGGUAUACUAGUUUAUUGGUUUCAGAAUUCUCUAGUUAAAAAUAUUAAGUUCCUUUAGGUUAAUGUAAAAGUGUUUCCAUAAACUUUAAGAGUGAAGGAUUUAGU